rnacentral:rRNA from 1 species
UGCCAGCAGCCGCGGUAAUACGUAGGGUGCAAGCGUUGUCCGGAUUUAUUGGGUUUAAAGGGUGCGCAGGCGGCUCAUUAAGUUAGUGGUGAAAUCUUCCGGCUUAACCGGAUUCCCGCCAUUGAUACUGAUGAGCUUGAGUGUAGUCGAGGAAGUUAGAAUGCGUGGUGUAGCGGUGAAAUGCAUAGAUAUCACGCAGAAUACCAAUUGCGAAGGCAGACUUCUAGAGUACAACUGACGCUGAGGCACGAAAGCGUGGGUAGCGAACAGGAUUAGAUA